UCACCCCCCUGCUGAUGUGGCUUUCACCAGCCCACGCUCGUUGCCCGUCCAACAGUGCUGCGAUUCCAAUUGGCAGAAACGUUAAAAGGGAAAUCACCGGCAUAACGACGACAGCCACCUUCCGUAACGUCCUCAUCCAUCCGUCCCAAGUGCUUUCAAAUAUCCCAUCCUUCUGUUUGCCUGCUUAGGAUCAAGCAGGGACUGGAGUCCAAUCCGACUGACCAUGUACAUCCUGGACUAGGAUAUGGCGCCAGGAAGUCAGCGCAAAGCCUGCUUGCAGUUUUACUGGAGCCGAGGCGCACGUGUGCUCGCAUCAUCGGUUCGCACGCCCUCUGAGAAGACCAACAGGAAUCAGGCCAAGGAAAGUCUUCCUUGAUUGGAAACAAAUGGAACAGCAGGAACAGGUACAGAGGGGUGGUCAAAUGAAUGAACGUUUGAUAUUUAGAUCUGAAUUUCUGUCAUGUUUAUGAACGUUUUAGCAGAUUUUAGCAAAGCAUUUGUUAACAUCUCUUAAAAUUGCCAAUAUUUUCACACGGUGUUUAUGAAAUGACUCAUUUGUAUUUUUCGCAA